UACAGAGGGGGCAAGCGUUGUUCGGAAUUACUGGGCGUAAAGGGCGCGUAGGCGGCCUGUUAAGUCGGACGUGAAAUCCCUCGGCUCAACCGGGGAACUGCGUCCGAUACUGGCGGGCUUGAAUUCGGGAGAGGGAUGUGGAAUUCCAGGUGUAGCGGUGAAAUGCGUAGAUAUCUGGAGGAACACCGGUGGCGAAGGCGCCGCUCUGGGCCGUAACUGACGCUGAGGAGCGAAAGCAUGGGUAGCAAACAGG
rnacentral:rRNA from 1 species